rnacentral:rRNA from 1 species
AUUGAACGCUGGCGGCAGGCUUAACACAUGCAAGUCGAGCGGAGAGAGGUAGCUUGCUACUGAUCUUAGCGGCGGACGGGUGAGUAAUGCUUAGGAAUCUGCCUAUUAGUGGGGGACAACAUUUCGAAAGGAAUGCUAAUACCGCAUACGUCCUACGGGAGGAAGCAGGGGAUCACUUGUGACCUUGCGCUAAUAGAUGAGCCUAAGUCGGAUUAGCUAGUUGGAGGGGUAAAGGCCUACCAAGGCGACGAUCUGUAGCGGGUCUGAGAGGAUGAUCCGCCACACUGGGACUGAGACACGGCCCAGACUCCUACGGGAGGCAGCAGUGGGGAAUAUUGGACAAUGGGGGGAACCCUGAUCCAGCCAUGCCGCGUGUGUGAAGAAGGCCUUAUGGUUGUAAAGCACUUUAAGCGAGGAGGAGGCUCUUUUGGUUAAUACCCAGGAUGAGUGGACGUUACUCGCAGAAUAAGCACCGGCUAACUCUGUGCCAGCAGCCGCGGUAACAC